UAUGUGAUCGUCUCUCGCAUAUCAAUAAGCGGAGGAAAAGAAACUAACAAGGAUUCCCCUAGUAACGGCGAGUGAAGCGGGAAGAGCUCAAAUUUGAAAUCUUAAAGGGUUUCCCUUUACGAAUUGUAGUUUAAAGAAGUGUUUUCUGUUGAGGUUUUGGUAAAAGUUCUUUGGAAUAGGACAUCAUAGAGGGUGAGAAUCCCGUAUUUGACCUUUACUUUCAACUUUGUGAUACACUUUCAAAGAGUCGGAUUGUUUGGGAAUGCAGUCCAAAAUGGGUGGUAAAUUUCAUCUAAAGCUAAAUAUUGGCGAGAGACCGAUAGCGAACAAGUACCGUGAGGGAAAGAUGAAAAGAACUUUGAAAAGAGAGUUAAACAGUACGUGAAAUUGUCAAAAGGGAAGCGUUUGACACCAGUGUUGUUUUUCUGAAAAUCAAUUAAAGAACUGUUUAUGCUAAGCUUGUUUAGACUUUAUCAGCUAAUCUGUUUAGUUUUGAGCUUUUCUUUAAUGCACUUUUCAGUUAACAAGUCAACAUCAAUUUCUUUUGCUGUAAAAAAGCUUGAGGAAGGUGGCUUGAGAUUCGUCUUAAGUGUUUAUAGCCUCUUGCCUAUGCAGUCGGAGAGAUUGAGGUCUGCAGCGUAGAUCCUUCGGGGCUAAAUGCAUUUGUGCUAAGUUAUAGCAUUUUAUAGACAACUUGUUGACUAUGAUUUGUCUUGUAGCUUACUCGCUUAUGUUAUUUUACCUACGCUUAGGAUGUUGAUAUGCAUGACUGAUAU
rnacentral:rRNA from 1 species